GGGGAAUUUUCCGCAAUGGGCGAAAGCCUGACGGAGCAACGCCGCGUGAGGGAUGAAGGCCUCUGGGCUGUAAACCUCUUUUCUCAAGGAAGAAGAUCUGACGGUACUUGAGGAAUAAGCCACGGCUAAUUCCGUGCCAGCANCCGCGGUAAUACGGGAGUGGCAAGCGUUAUCCGGAAUUAUUGGGCGUAAAGCGUCCGCAGGCGGCCUUGAAAGUCUGUUGUUAAAGCGUGGAGCUUAACUCCAUUUCAGCAAUGGAAACUACAAGGCUAGAGUGUGGUAGGGGCAGAGGGAAUUCCCGGUGUAGCGGUGAAAUGCGUAGAUAUCGGGAAGAACACCAGUGGCGAAGGCGCUCUGCUGGGCCAUAACUGACGCUCAUGGACGAAAGCCAGGGGAGCGAAAGGGAUUAGAUACCCCUGUAGUC
rnacentral:rRNA from 1 species